UGAUGAAGCAAUGCAAAACUCUAGAGA
rnacentral:piRNA from 1 species